rnacentral:rRNA from 1 species
AGCAGCCGCGGUAAUUCCAGCUCCAAUAGCGUAUAUUAAAGUUGUUGCAGUUAAAAAGCUCGUAGUUGAAUUUCGGGGUUAGUAGGUUGGUCGUGCCACUGGUACGUACUGGUCUCACUGAUUCCUCCUUCCUGAUGAACUGUAAUGCCAUUAAUUUGGUGUUGCAGGGAAACUGGACUGUUACUUUGAAAAAAGUUAGAGUGUUUAAAGCAAGCUAACGCUUGAAUACAUUAGCAUGGAAUAAUGAAAUAGGACGUUCGAUCCUAUUUUGUUGGUUUCUAGGAUUGACGUAAUGAUUAAUAGGGAUAGUUGGGGGCAUUAGUAUUCAAUUGUCAGAGGUGAAAUUCUUGGAUUUAUUGAAGACUAACUACUGCGAAAGCAUUUUGCCAAGGAUGUUUUCAUUAAUCAAGAACGAAAGUUAGGGGAUCGAAGACGAUCAGAUACCGUCGUAGUCUUAACCAUAAACUAUGCCGACUAGGGAUCGGAUGGAUGUUAAUUUUUUCAAUGAC